rnacentral:rRNA from 1 species
AACGAACGCUGGCGGCAGGCCUAACACAUGCAAGUCGAGCGAGACCUUCGGGUCUAGCGGCGGACGGGUGAGUAACGCGUGGGAACGUGCCCUUUUCUACGGAAUAGCCUCGGGAAACUGAGCGUAAUACCGUAUACGCCCUUUGGGGGAAAGAUUUAUCGGAGAAGGAUCGGCCCGCGUUGGAUUAGGUAGUUGGUGGGGUAAUGGCCUACCAAGCCUACGAUCCAUAGCUGGUUUGAGAGGAUGAUCAGCCACACUGGGACUGAGACACGGCCCAGACUCCUACGGGAGGCAGCAGUGGGGAAUCUUAGACAAUGGGGGCAACCCUGAUCUAGCCAUGCCGCGUGAGUGAUGAAGGCCUUAGGGUUGUAAAGCUCCUUCAGCUGGGAAGAUAAUGACGGUACCAGCAGAAGAAGCCCCGGCUAACUCCGUG